rnacentral:lncRNA from 1 species
ACCUUUCAACUGAUUUUUUUCUUUAUUUCUUUGAUCUUUUUUUUCUUUUUAAAAAAGAGUCAGCCCCUCUUUACAUAUUAAAUCUGGCUUUUUAUAGCCGAAAGAAAGAAAAAAAUUUGUCUUCGUUUCUGCUUGCGUGUUCGUUUCUCUUUGGCAGGUGGAGCAGGUGGCUGAACGGUGCAGGCGAUGGGACGUGCGGCGGAGGGUAGGUGAUGGCGGUGCGGCAGUGGCAGAGCAGGUGGAGCAGGUGGGUCUGCUGGUAUGGGUUCUUUCUUGGGCCCGGGCAAAUGGGCCUGCAACA